rnacentral:lncRNA from 1 species
CCCCCCCCGGAGGAACCGCGUUCCCCAGGGAGCUUGCCGCCACGGAGGCGGUUUGCUCUUGAAACGUUGCCCUUGAGGAGCGGUACGGCCUCCAGCGAGGCAACCGGGGCUGCCAGCUUCCUUGGAGAGGUGGCGUUGGAUCACAUUGCCUGGGGCCUCGGGCCAUGUCAGGGUCCUCCGUGGGGGUCUCCAUUGAAGUCCGUCUCAGUAGCUUUGAAACGCCACGAGAUAAUAGGUCCAGAAAGGAUUUCAGCCCCACGCAGGCUGACCAAGGGAAGCAGACUUCUGCUCACUGAUUCCUCUGAAAUAGUAUGGUGUGAUGUGGGUGCUUGAACGUGAACCUCAAGGAGAGGGCCUCCAAAGACUGGUCAGGGGUUCUUCCUUACAAGCAGAGGACAGCACUGCUUAGAUGUUGUGGAGCUGAUGGCUGAAGCACGGGUGCCACCUCUGCCUCUGCUUUAACAGGGUGCUCCCCUGCUGAGGCUCUAAACACAGUGACUGCCACUUCCCACAUCACUCGCCUCCAGCUGCCCUGUGCCUGUCCUCUGCUGGCCCCACUUUGCAUGUGCUGGGGCUCUGACCUGACCCCGGAGAGCACAGAUGUCUCCUUAAUUGUUUUUCUCACCCCUUCCCUUCUUUGUCAGGUGCUGAUGACUCAGGAGAUCAUUUCGAAGAAGCUACUUUUACAACCACCACAUUGGCCCCAACCCGUCCCAAGGACGGGUUCCUGCGCCUGGUGAACGGCAGCCACCGGUGUGAGGGGCGCGUGGAGAUGUUCUACCUGUCCCAGUGGGGGACGGUGUGCGAUGAUGCCUGGGACUUGAGGGACGCCAAGGUGGUGUGUCGGCAGCUGGGCUGCGGGCACGCCGUGGC